rnacentral:rRNA from 1 species
AAGUAAAAGUCGUAACAAGGUCUCCGUUGGUGAACCAGCGGAGGGAUCAUUACCGAGUUUACAACUCCCAAACCCAUGUGAACAUACCUACUGUUGCUUCGGCGGGAUUGCCCCGGGCGCCUCGUGUGCCCCGGAUCAGGCGCCCGCCUAGGAAACUUAACUCUUGUUUUAUUUUGGAAUCUUCUGAGUAGUUUUUACAAAUAAAUAAAAACUUUCAACAACGGAUCUCUUGGUUCUGGCAUCGAUGAAGAACGCAGCGAAAUGCGAUAAGUAAUGUGAAUUGCAGAAUUCAGUGAAUCAUCGAAUCUUUGAACGCACAUUGCGCCCGCCAGUAUUCUGGCGGGCAUGCCUGUCUGAGCGUCAUUUCAACCCUCAUGCCCCUAGGGCGUGGUGUUGGGGAUCGGCCAAAGCCCGCGAGGGACGGCCGGCCCCUAAAUCUAGUGGCGGACCCGUCGUGGCCUCCUCUGCGAAGUAGUGAUAUUCCGCAUCGGAGAGCGACGAGCCCCUGCCGUUAAACCCCCAACUUUCCAAGGUUGACCUCAGAUCAGGUAGGAAUACCCGCUGAACUUAAGCA